rnacentral:rRNA from 1 species
AGAGUUUGAUCAUGGCUCAGGAUGAACGCUGGCGGCAUGCCUAAUACAUGCAAGUCGAACGGAAUCUUAUAUGUUCCUCGUUUCGGAUUUAGUUCCGAGUUGGGGAACAAUAAGAUUUAGUGGCGACGGGUGAGUAACACGUUGGUACCUACCCUCUAGUGGGGAAUAACUUCGAGAAAUCGAGGCUAAUACCGCAUAAUAUCUACGGAUUAAAGCAUUUAUGCGCUAGAGGAGGGGCCUGCGUCUGAUUAGCUUGUUGGUGAGGUAAAAGCUCACCAAGGCGACGAUCAGUAGCUGGAUCGAGAGGUUGACCAGCCACACUGGGACUGAGAUACGGCCCAGACUCCUACGGGAGGCAGCAGUGAGGAAUCUUCCACAAUGGGCGAAAGCCUGAUGGAGCAAUGCCGCGUGCAGGAUGACGGCCUUCGGGUUGUAAACUGCUUUUAUAUGGGAAGAUUAUGACGGUACCAUAUGAAUAAGGACCGGCUAACUACGUG